rnacentral:snRNA from 1 species
AAACUUACCUGGCAAGGGAGACACCAUGAUCACGAAGGUGGUUUUCCCAGGGUGAGGCUCAUCCAUUGCACUCCGGGUGUGCUGACCUUGCGAUUUCCCCAAAUGUGGGAAACUCGACUGCGUAAUAUCUAGUAGUGGGGGACUGCAUUCAUGCUAUCCCCUG